UUGUGAUGCCAUUAUGGGGUAUUGUGAUGCCAUUAUGGGGUAUUGUGAUGCCAUUAUGGGGUAUUGUGAUGUCAUUAUGGGGUAUUGUGAUGCCAUUAUGGGGUAUUGUGAUGCCAUUAUGGGGUAUUGUGAUGCCAUUAUGGGGUAUUGUGAUGUCAUUAUGGGGUAUUGUGAUGCCAUUAUGGGGUAUUGUGAUGCCAUUAUGGGGUAUUGUGAUGCCAUUAUGGGGUAUUGUGAUGCCAUUAUGGGGUAUUGUGAUGCCAUUAUGGGGUAUUGUGAUGCCAUUAUGGGGUAUUGUGAUGUCAUUAUGGGGUAUUGUGAUGCCAUUAUGGGGUAUUGUGAUGCCAUUAUGGGGUAUUGUGAUGCCAUUAUGGGGUAUUGUGAUGUCAUUAUGGGGUAUUGUGAUGCCAUUAUGGGGUAUUGUGAUGCCAUUAUGGGGUAUUGUGAUGCCAUUAUGGGGUAUUGUGAUGCCAUUAUGGGGU